GAUGCUGGGGGAGAGGCUCAAGUGAAGGUCCCUGCUCCUGCCUCAGGACGGGGUGGGCAGAGCUGAGCAGAGCAUGUGAUUGGAAUCAUUUGCUGGUGGCAGGGUUCAAAAGCAAAUGAUGACUAGGGACAGGAAGGAAGCAGACCUGGAGCUAGUCUACAGGGAAUAUUAAUCUGGAUUAAUUUUUAAAUUUGAAAUAUUCCAUUUUACUCCCAAAGUAAAUUAUGGUGUAUCAUAUUAACACCACUUAUAUCUUUAAUGAAAGCAUCCACAUUGGGAUGGAAUGCAGUUUAAGUAAUCUGCUUUUAAUACACACCAGGUACAAUUUGAAUUAAUUUUCCUCUGUGUUCUUGAGUACACGAAGUCCCCAAGGCACUGUGUCUUUCUGGCACUGUGCCUCUGGGGUGAUGCCUCUCAUGCAAAUUUCCUUGUGUGGAGUAUUGUCUAAUGCCAGAUAUCACCCAUAAGGUUUUUAUAUCUUCAUUAACUACUACACAGAUGCUGCAGUGCCCAUCUAACAUGGAUGCAUUUAGCAUCACUGACAGCCUCUGGCUAUGAUAAUCAUCAGAACAGAGAACAUUACACUGGGCAUGGUUAAAUCGCAUUUUAUUAACAUGAAUUGCUUGUACUCUAAGCUUGCUGUGUUCAUUCCAUUAAAAUUACCUUCUAGAAGAAACAGAAAAUUCUGCUAAUGCUUUAGGUAACUGCUGUUGCACUGCUGUGUGCAGCAACAACCUUGCUGAGGCCACUACUAAAACACAACACAGGAGUUGUCUCUGCUGCUGGCUUGACCCCAGACUGAUGUGUUGAAGAUGGUCCUCUUUUCUCCCUCAUCCCCUCCUGGGAAUAAUCCGUAGUACUUCCAUGCAGGCAGACAAGGUAUCCCAGUGCAGAGGUAUCCUAAGCCUCUGCUGCUUGAAGAAGGCAGCAGAGAUGCUCCAUGUGCCGGCCUGCAGAUACCAGCAUGGGUUGAAUGCUCUGGAGUCUGCUUGCCUCUCCAAAAAUGUCAGGUAAUCAGUAGGAAAAGGACUGGCCAGAGGCACAAAUUUGGUCCUUCAGUGACUUCUCUUUACCCUGAGUCAGAUUUCAUUAUCUCAAACAGUACAGAAAAAUCAGAACCAUCACAUUGCUUUUUAAGUUGGUUUUUUUUUUCCUUUAGUGAAUUAUAGCACACCUUUUCCAAACAUGUAUAUGUGUGUAUGUAUAUAUAUGUGUGAGUUUGUACUUAUAUAUAUACACAUAUAUAUAUAUUUAAGAGCCAACCACAGACUUUGAAAGCAUUUAGCAAUAAGUUGAAUUACAGUAGCUUCUAGCAUGUGUAAAUAAUGAGUGAAUAACUCAUUUUCACAGCAUCCCUGAGCUCAGUAUAAGUCUACACACAGGCCUUGUCUUUGCAUAGGAGCCUUCAUGUCUUACCCUUGUCGGUUCUGUUGUAUGGGCAAAAAAGGGAACCUGCUAUAUUUGGAUGCAAAAAAUGGGAACUGAACAGAGAAUUUUCAGAAUUUUUAUAAAUGUUUUUAAAAAAUUCAGCACCAGAACUGUAAAUAUGUCAACACAGCUGGACCCAUUCUGAUGUACAGCCCUUGUUUGGAUGAACAGCCAAGGGUGCUGCCUGACAGCGCCUCGUGUUCUCUCCCAGCCAGUGGGUGACAACAUUUUUGUGAAUGUUUAUAUACUGUCACGUACCCAACUUUCUUUGGGUCAUUCACAUCAGGGUUUUGUGAUGCUGCUAUUAAUUUAUUAAAGAGAGUUUGUUGGUUUAAUCAUUCUUAAUUUUUUUUUUUCUCCAUGGUCUAUCAGAAAAUAAAUAAACAAAUGUGCCCUCUCUUUCUUUCCUCUGUCCCCAAUUAAAAUAUGUCCUCACCAAAAAAACAAGCAAGCAACAAAAAACAAGGAUAAGGAUGUAUACCUGAAGUAUGGCCCACAGAUGCUGAAUCUCAGAAAUCACUGUCAGCAGAUAUCCCAACAUUUCCAACCCCAAAACUUGAUAAAUACAAAAGUGGUGAUAGACUAUUCCCCCUCUUCAAAUGGCUCCCUCCGGGAAUAACCCUUGAAAAUUACAUUUUUUAAAUUAUGUCAAUUUGAAGAAUUAAUUUAGUUCUCUGAAACUUAACCAAAGUCAGGUUGUCCCCACAGCAGUUUUGCUUCUCCUGAGAUGUAGCCAUUAACCUUGGGGUGCCUCCAGAAACCCUGCCUGGGGCUGUCUGACGUGAGUACUUGCUGGAAGUUUUGUGUGUCCUCAAAUCUGAGCUCAGGUAUGGUUCUGUCUUACAAAUAGUGUGGGUGGUGGUGUUUUGUUUUGAGUUUGGACUGAGCAAGUGACAACAAUUCCUUGGAAAUGGUGCCGUGGGCUGUGUUGUUUGCUUUGUUUCCCAAACCAGAUGGAGCUGUGCAGGCAGGCUGCCCGUGGGACAGCACACACACAGAGGCUCCCACCCAGCAAACACACCCCCUUGUUUCACUGGCAUCGGGCAGUCUGCUCUUGGGGGCAUCCCAGGACAGAACCAGCAGCUUCCUGGGCUGUAGGGGCUUCCCCACUAGAGGUCAGAAUCAAGGCUGGCCAUGUAGUCAGGCACAAAGCCUUGUGGGCAACCUGGUUUCUAGGCUUGAGCUGGCUCAUCCAUGUCUGUGACCUGUUGCCCCACACAGCCAAUCUGGGGUGUAGCACCCAUGGGGUGGCUUUGGGGAGCUCUGCAUGCCUCAGAGACUGUGCUUUGAGAAGAAGGCCUCUCCUUCAGUCCUGUGCUUGCUGAAGAUAAGAGCAGCUACCCAGAGGCUGUAGCAUCUGGGAGGGAACAUGAUUCAGAGCCAAUGCUGAGGAGCCUCGAGGCAUCCCACCUCAGCAUGGCUCUCUAUUGUCAUAAUGACUAUGAGUCUGCAGUAGUUUUUAUCUGAGUGAUAAUUUGAAGAGGUAAAUGUUAGAUGAUGUGUGAGUAGUCAGUGUGAACAGUGUGGUUCAUGCUGUUUUCUCUACAGAGACACUCAUGUUAAUCAUUAGUGCCUUUCUUCUGGAGAGCCCUGCAGAGAUUUUCCUCACUGUUGUGAACUGUGCCCAAUGCUCUUCCCUUCCCAGUCAGCAUCUAAUGUGCUGGAGUCAUGAGGGUCCUGGAUAUGGAGACCCAAAUUCCAAAGGGGAAACAUACUUUAAAGAAAAAAUAGCAAACCCAUGGAGCUCUGCAGAAAUGUUGUUUAACUUUGAGCUGCUGAAGAGUGUCUGAUACUGUGGCAGACAAGUUAUGCUAAUCUGGUGUUCCAAAAGCAGUGCCUGUCAUGUGAUAAAUGAGCAGAUGUCUCUUGGAUGGGUUUCCUCCCUGUGUCACAGUAUCAUUAGGAUAGCUGCAUGCCAAGAACUGCACUUGGCUUUGUCUCCAUUUCAGACUGGGGUGGAAAAGGCAUUAGAAGCUUUUUCCUGGGAAAAAUCAGGCAAAGACUGCCAAGCCUUGGGCAGGUGCAGCAGAAGGACAGAGAUGGGCAGAUGAGAUACAUGUACACAUCUGUGCACAUGAACACACAUCCCAGAAACCCCAGAGAGCCACAGGAGAUGUCAUCACACUCUAGUCUUCCCUUGAAAAGAUGGGAGGGGCUGAAAAGCUGGGGAGAAAACCUGUGAUGGGGAGAUCAAAUGUACCUGUAAGUGUCACUGUGAAACGUGGGCUGUUCUAGUGUGGGUGAGUGUAGGUAUCAAAAAAUGGUUUUGUUUUUUCAUUUUUAACCAUGAAGUUGUUAUUGACUCUUCUGUCUCUCCAUCAUUUUUUCUUUAAGUCUCAGGUCUUCUGCAUGUUUUCUUUUACCCACAACUGAAUCCUGUGCUAUGAGGCUGUCAGAAGUCAGCAAAAUAUCUAAGUGAUGUGUUAUUCCCUCUCGGCUGUGCAGGGAGGUUGCAAUCCCAAAACAUCAUGGAGAUGGAGCGUCUUCAGAAGGACCAGUGGAUGCCAGUGACAGAUGCUCAUCAAAGACACUGAACUUUUAAUCAGGGUCCUUUUCCCUGACUGGCAGCUAGAACAGCUCUUCUAUGACAUUUUGGGGAGGAAGACUUCAGUGCCCCUCCUUUUGGGCCUGCACUUCCUGAAGAUCAUGACACUGCUGAAAGCAACAGGUAAGUGCAAAUGCCCAGCAGAGAUCUCAGCUGUGCUGGAGGUUCCUUCCCUACAGGCACAUGUCCCAAAAUGUCUUCAGAUAGGAUCCAUGGAUUGCAGUGUCUCACCCAGGAAGCCAUGGCAAGGUUUGGUCCCCUCACCUAAGUGCUCCUCUCCCUUCUUUUUGCAGCUCAGCCACAUGGCUGGCACACAGGUGGGCUGGCCCCCAAGUGACCAUUUUUUCUCUUGCACCUUCUCUAGGUGUUGCUGAAGAGAAAACUGCCUGCAUCCUCCCCCAGUGUGUCCCGUGGUGGCAGUCAGCAAGGUGCUGGGAUGAGUUCCUCCCCCUGUGCCCCACUGCGGGUGACGCAGCACACUGUGCUCGGCAAACGGUGGUUUUUCUUACCCAGAACUUUACUCCUGGAGGGUAAAUUAAUGUGAUUACCUGUUGCUCUGUAGUUAGUUGGCAUUUCUGCUUUAAAAAAAUAGGUGGGAGUGUGUGCUGGGCCUGAGCAGUAGCCCUGGUGACAGGCACAGUGCGGGGACAGAAGUCAAGGCAGGGGCAGAGAGAGCCCUGUUAAUGAGAAGGAGCAGAAAGCCUGGCUUGUUCCUUCCAGCAGCUAAAGAGGGGCAAAGCAAGCUCUGCAUCAGGAUAACAGGGAGUGCUUGUUCUGGAUAAGCAGGGACAAGUUAUUUAGGCCAGAGGAAAACAUUGGUAUACAGAAAGGGUAGAAAUAAGGUAGGAAUUAAAAGUAGGUUUCUAACAAGCGGGGUAUUCCAGGUUUGGGACUGCACUUCCUGCUGAGGCAGCAGUAACAGCAACUGAAAAGCUUAUUGAGGGCUCAGGUGUUGCAUUCACACAGGAAUUUAUGCUCUAGAGGUACAGCAGGAGGGCCCAGCUCAGCCCUUUUUUGUCCUCAGCCUCCCGUUUGGCAGAGCUCAGGCACCAAGCCAGGCAUCUGCACAGCAGGACCUGCCCAGUGACACAUCCCAGUGUGGGAGGAAAAAAAACAUCUGGAAGCAAGAACACUAUUUUUAGGUUAUGGUCCUUCCAUAAGUCCUGGCAAGAGCCUUGAAAAAUGACAACACAAUUUUGGAGGAAGGCAGGCAAGGCCGUGUCAAGUCAGUGCAUCUCCCACAAACAGGACAACGUGAAGCCGAGGGAUCGUGAAGGCUGUGUGUUCCCAGCCCCCAGUUGUAUGAAGCAAUAUUUCACUUGCAUUCGUGGAAGCAUCCAGAAUCAACCAGCUUGGCCAGCCCAAGCCUGACUGCAUGCAGUCCUGUAAGUAUGUUUUAUUUACCUGCAACAGCAUUUUCAUGUGCUCUGGAGAGCCACAGUGUUGAGGUAAUGCCCUUGCUGGGGCUGCCAUUAUCUGAUGUUGUUGAGAAAACACUGGUGAGCAGCUUUCAGGACUGAGCCUGCUUUGUGCUUGCACUGUCUUAUGUUUUUAAUGCUUUUCUUUGUUGCUGUAGCUGGGAACUUCAUGCUCUUGCUUCAGUAAAAUAAAUUGUGCUGUUGGCCUUUUAA